UGAGGAACAUGACCUUCGGCGGGGGAUAGCCGGCCCAACGGCCGGGUAAUACCGCGUACGACCACAUGGGGACAUCCCCGAGUGGUGAAAGCAGCAAUGCGCCGAUGGAGUGCCUCGCGGCCUAUCAGCUAGUUGGUGGGGUAACGGCUCACCAAGGCAACGACGGGUAGCUGGUCUGAGAGGAUGGCCAGCCACAUUGGGACUGAGACACGGCCCAGACCUCCGUAGGGA
rnacentral:rRNA from 1 species